rnacentral:misc_RNA from 1 species
GAUGAAGAACGCAGCGAAAUGCGAUAAGUAAUGUGAAUUGCAGAAUCCAGUGAAUCAUCGAAUCUUUGAACGCACAUUGCGCCCGCCAGCAUUCUGGCGGGCAUGCCUGUUCGAGCGUCAUUUCAACCCUCGACCUCCCUUUGGGGAAGUCGGCGUUGGGGACCGGCAGCACACCGCCGGCCCUGAAAUGGAGUGGCGGCCCGUCCGCGGCGACCUCUGCGUAGUAACCAACUCGCACCGGAACCCCGACGUGGCCACGCCGUAAAACACCCAACUUCUGAACGUUGACCUCGAAUCAGGUAGGACUACCCGCUGAACUUAAGCAUAUCAAUAAGCGGAGGA